rnacentral:rRNA from 1 species
GAUUGAUCCCGUCGGACCCCACUGCUAUCGAGAUGGGACUAAAGUAUGCUAGUCGAACGACCAGAACUAUGUCUGGAAGUGGCACACUGCUCAGUAACACGUAGCUAACCUACCCUUAGGACGUGGAUACCCCCGAGAAAUUGGGGUUAAUCCGUGAUAGAUGUAAUGUCCUGGAAUGGUAUUACGUCUAAAGGUAUUUCAUACAUGUUUGAAAUAUGCCUAAGGAUGGGGCUGCGGCCGAUCAGGCUGUUGGUGAGGUAAUGGCUCACCAAACCUUUGACCGGUACGGGCCAUGAGAGUGGUAGCCCGGAGAUGGACACUGAGACAAGGGUCCAGGCCCUAAGGGGCGCAGCAACCGCGAAACCUCCACAAUGCACUCACGUGCGAUGGGGCUAUCUCGAGUGCCACCUGAUGAAGGUGGCUUUUCCUUGGUCUAAAAAGCCUUGGGAAUAAGAGGGGGGCAAGACUGGUGUCAGCCGCCGCGGUAACACCAGCCCCUCGAGUGGUGGGGAUGAUUAUUUGGCCUAAAGCGUCCGUAGCCGGCCGAGCAAGUCUUCCGUUAAAUCCAGCGUCUCAAGCGUUGGACCGCGGGAGAUACUACACGGCUAGAGAGUGGGAGAGGUCAGCGGUAUUCUGGGGGUAGGGGCGAAAUCCUUUGAUCCCCGGAGGACCACCAGUGGCGAAGGCUGCUGACUAGAACACGUCUGACGGUCAGGGACGAAAGCUGGGGUAGCGAACCGGAUUAGAUACCCGGGUAGUCCCAGCCGUAAACGAUGCAUGCUAGGUGUUGGGUUGGCCACGAGCCACCCCAGUGCCGCAGGGAAGCCGUUAAGCAUGCCGCCUGGGAAGUACGAUCGCAAGAUUGAAACUUAAAGGAAUUGGCGGGGAGCACCACCAGGCGUGAAGCCUGCGGUUUAAUUGGAGUCAUCGCCGGGAACCUUACCGGGAGCGACAGCAGAAUGAAGGCCAGAUUGAAGAUCUUGCCAGACGAGCUGAGAGGAGGUGCAUGGCCGUCGCCAGUUCGUGCCGUGAGGUGUUCUCUUAAGUGAGAUAACGAACGAGACCCGUGCCACAUGUUGCCACCAGUAUCUAAAGGAUAGCUGAGCACUCUUGUGGGACCGCAGCCGAUAAGGCUGAGGAAGGUACGGGCAACGGCAGGUCAGUAUGCCCCGAAUCUCCCGGGCCACACGCGGGCUGCAAUGGUACAGACAGAGGGCUGCCACCCCGAAAGGGGGAGCCAAUCCCUAAACUGUACCUCAGUUGGGAUCGAGGGUUGCAACCCACCCUCGUGAACAUGGAAUGCCUAGUAACCGCCAGUCAUCAUCUGGCGGUGAAUACGUCCCUGCUCCUUGCACACACUGCCCGUCGAACCACCCGAAUGAGGUUUGGGUGAGGAAUGGUCGAAUGUUGGCCGUUUCGAACCUGGGCCUCGUAAGGAGGGUUAAGUCGUAACAAGGUG